rnacentral:rRNA from 1 species
UACAGGGGGUGCAAACGUUGCUCGGAAUUAUUGGGCGUAAAGCGCGCGUAGGCGGCUACUUAAGUCGGAUGUGAAAGCCCUUGGCUCAACUGAGGAAGUGCACCCGAAACUGAGUGGCUUGAGUACUAAAGAGGGUCGCGGAAUUCCCGGUGUAGAGGUGAAAUGCGUAGAUAUUGGGAGGAACACCAGUGGCGAAGGCGGCUCACUGGACCGGUACUGACGCUGAUGCGCGAAAGCGUGGGGAGCAAACGGG